rnacentral:ncRNA from 1 species
UUCCGCGAAACAUAUGUAAGUAUGUAGUUUAAAUAACAUCAUAGCAGGUACAGAACUGUAAUCUCGGACAAUUUGUGCAUUAAUAUCCUAUUAGGGUAGAUAAUGCCUUGUGCAUAUGGGGGGGUCGUGAAGACUCUAUUCGCGAGUAUUUGCUCUCGGAAGGGCAAUGAUGAGUGUUGAACUAUCAGACAUUUAACGAUAAGGUUGUGUGUCAAAAGGGAAACAGCCCAGAACAAGUGUUUAAGGUUCCAAAGUUUUUGUUAAGUGAAAGUAAGGAAGUAUUUAAACUAUACAACCAGGAAAUAGGCUUAGAAGCGGCCAUUUUUUAAAGACCUCGUAACAGAGCACUGGUUCAAAUGGUUAAUUCGUUAACCUAAUUAGUUAAAAGCGCCGAAGAUAUAACGGAUCUAAAACAAAACACCGACACCUUGUCCAUAAUAAUUAUACUAGGUAUAAUCCUAGUUUACUAUACUUAAAGGUUAUUUAAGUAUUAUUUAUGGGGUAGCGGAA